rnacentral:tmRNA from 21 species
CUGCAAAAAUAGAAAUGUCCAUUCUCCAAUGGACUAGGUGAUCCACACCAGUGUUUCGGACAGCGGUUCGAUUCCGCUCAGCUCCAUAACAAAUCAAUCUUAAGGGGCUGCAAUGGUUUCGACGUGACAACAGGAGGGUGACUGAAGCCUGCUCGGCAUGAGCAAACACAUAAACGCUAACAAAAUCGUUAGUUUCUCCCGUCAGACAGCACCUGUUGCUGCCUGACCCUAUUAAGGGAGAUGGGGUUAGAUCAGCCUUAUCACUCAAAUGAUCUAUGGGACCUGGAAAGGUCC